UUUGAUUCCAAUCCUAUGGCCACAAAACCUUUGCACAAAUGGAAGAGGCUUGCAAGGGAAAAGGCCAUUUCAACAUCUAAUGUCGCUAUCCGAGAAAUAUUAUCAGAUGAAGAGGUCGGCCAAGAUGACAGAGACGAGAAGGAUUCCAAUUUUCACAAAAGAGGAAGGGAUGAGGGAGAGAUGGGGGAGGAAAAAGAGAUUGAUCAAAACAAAAAAUAUCGCUCUGAUGAAGCUUCUUUGACAACCAACUCAACGGCGGGACCUGGUCACCAGGCUUGCUGAGAGCCAUGAAUCUUUUAAGAUGGAACUGCGGAGGGCUUGGCAACCCUCGAGCAGUGUUAGCUCUUAAAGAGCUACUAAAAAACAAUAAGCCAAGGAUAGUGUUUGUUAUGGAAACUCUCAUUCAAUGUCAGAGAACUGAAGCAGUUAGAAUCAAGAUUAGUUUGUUUUGCAGUGGACAGAUUAGGG
rnacentral:misc_RNA from 1 species